rnacentral:rRNA from 1 species
AACGAACGCUGGCGGCAUGCCUAACACAUGCAAGUCGAACGAGACCUUCGGGUCUAGUGGCGCACGGGUGCGUAACGCGUGGGAACCUGCCCUUAGGUUCGGAAUAACUCCCCGAAAGGGGUGCUAAUACCGGAUAAUGUCUUCGGACCAAGGAUUUAUCGCCUUUGGAUGGGCCCGCGUUGGAUUAGCUAGUUGGUAGGGUAAAAGCCUACCAAGGCGACGAUCCAUAGCUGGUCCGAGAGGAUGAUCAGCCACACUGGGACUGAGACACGGCCCAGACUCCUACGGGAGGCAGCAGUGGGGAAUAUUGGACAAUGGGCGAAAGCCUGAUCCAGCAAUGCCGCGUGAGUGAUGAAGGCCUUAGGGUUGUAAAGCUCUUUUACCCGGGAUGAUAAUGACAGUACCGGGAGAAUAAGCUCCGGCUAACUCCGUG